CAUGCAGUCGACGAUGACUUUUGUGCUUGCACAAAAUGAUUAGUGGCGAACGGGUGAGUAACACGUGAGUAACCUGCCCUUAACUUCGGGAUAAGCCUGGGAAACCGGGUCUAAUACCGGAUACGACCUCCUGACGCAUGUCAUGGGGGUGGAAAGCUUGAUGCGGUUUUGGAUGGACUCGCGGCCUAUCAGCUAGUUGGUUGGGGUAAUGGCCCACCAAGGCGACGACGGGUAGCCGGCCUGAGAGGGUGACCGGCCACACUGGGACUGAGACACGGCCCAGACUCCUACGGGAGGCAGCAGUGGGGAAUAUUGCACAAUGGGCGAAAGCCUGAUGCAGCGACGCCGCGUGAGGGACGAAGGCCUUCGGGUUGUAAACCUCUUUCAGCAGGGAAGAAGCGAAAGUGACGGUACCUGCAGAAGAAGCGCCGGCUAACUACGUGCCAGCAGCCGCGGUAAUACGUAGGGCGCAAGCGUUAUCCGGAAUUAUUGGGCGUAAAGAGCUCGUAGGCGGUUUGUCGCGUCUGCUGUGAAAGCCCGGGGCUCAACCCCGGGUCUGCAGUGGGUACGGGCAGACUAGAGUGCAGUAGGGGAGACUGGAAUUCCUGGUGUAGCGGUGAAAUGCGCAGAUAUCAGGAGGAACACCGAUGGCGAAAGGCAGGUCUCUGGGCUGUAACUGACGCUGAGGAGCGAAAGCAUGGGGAGCGAACAGGAUUAGAUACCCUGGUAGUCCAUGCCGUAAACGUUGGG
rnacentral:rRNA from 1 species